GGAGGAGGAGGAGGAGGAGGAGGAGGAGGGAGAGGCGCAGGAGCGGCGCUCCAGCGAUUGCAGGCGCUGGCAGGGGCUGUUGGUGCUGCUGCCGUGUGCAUAUGAGAAGUCGCUCUGUGCAGUGGUUUUAUUGACGGUAAAUCCCCCGGCAGCGCGGGCUGGGCAGGGAAGGAGGAGGUCUCAGGCUGGAGCAGGUGAGCACGUGGACGUUCUUGGGAGUCCUUGACUUCCAGUGCACAAGAAACCCCAGCGAAGAGGCUCUGCUGCAUCCCCUGGAUGGAGAACGUUUCCUGGGGGUCUCGUGGAGCUGUCGGGACCCCAGACACCGCAGGACCCUUUUCUACAGGAGCCAGGGAGGAGGAGAGCGGCCAGAGGAAACUUCCUUACCGCUGGCCCUCGGCCAGGGAGAAUGCAGCUGCAUCCUUGGAAUCGAGUGGAGCGUGGGGACUGGGAGCGUUUCCGUGUUAUUUUUUGGGGAAGCCACGUGAGGGUUGUGUUAAUUCCUGCUGGGAGAGACAGCGGAACCAGCCGAGGGCUGUGGGAUGGGUGAGGAGGUAACAGCCCCAGGUGAUAACUGCAAGACACGAAGCCUUAAAGGGGUGGGUUAGUGAGGAGUGGCGGGAUGUGAGUGUCUGUGGCGGAGUCCUCCUGUUAUAAACGGGUGCUCAGAGCAUGGAUUCAGUAGCCCGGGCUCCCCUCAGCGUGCCCUCAGAUCUAAUUAGCGUGAAAAAAGUAAUUAAGGGAAGGUGCUGCAGAGCUGAGUCUCCCAGCGCAGGCUCCGGCAGACAGGCAGGAACCCUGACGUGUCUUGGGAACACCUCGGGAGCUUGGGCCAAGGGAUAACGCAGGGCCUGGGGCUCUUUCCUCACCUUCCCAGCAGUGCUUGUCCCUGCUCCACCACACACAUCCCAGUUACGGAAACCAGCUCCCGUCCUGCUUCUUGGAAGAGCAUCCCCAGGGUGAGGAUGGAUAAGUGAUGCUUUUCCAUGCUUUUUUGGGGUUGUGCCCUGCUAUUGCUCCCUGCAUGGAAGCAGCCCUGGCUUGCAAAUUGCUUCUUUAUCUGCACCCGCUGCUGUCCAGGAGGCAAAUUAAUUAAUAAUGGUCAAUUAGUCCUGUGGGUGCUGGAGGUGCUCGGCACCGCUGUAUUCCUUCCUGGAGCGUGAGGCGCUGGGGCUGCCUGGCCCUGCAGUCCGGGACUGUAUUUGUAUAUUUGAGAGAUUUAAUUCAGAAGCCACCAUUGGCGUGUGGCAAAGCUGCUGGGGCUGCAGAGGCAGUGCUCAGGCCUUCACCCCAUCCAGGACAAAAAUUCCAAAGGAGAGGGGGGAAGAAUUCCAUCCCCCCUCAAACCUGGACUGAGUGAUGUGUGAAAUAUCUUCACAGCCGAUCCCCACUAAUGGGUUGCAAAUUGCUUCCAUCAGCUCCAGCAUUACAGAUUGCCGUCUGAAAUUGCUUCCAGGAGCCCAUUUUGGGGCCAAAUACUUCCUAGCUUGGGGAAAUAACCAUCAGCAGCAUUAGUGACAGUAAAUUGUAUUCAAAUGAGGCACCGUGGGGCCUUAUUAGGACUUCUCACAUGUGCCUUUCUCGCUGGUGGGGCAGCUCCGGCAUUAGGGAAUCUUGCAUCCACACAGAAUCCUUCAAGUUGGAAAAGACUUCCAAGAUCAUCCUUCAGCUGCUGCCCCAGCACUGCCAAGGCCAUGACUAAGCCACGUCCUCAAGUACCACAUCUACAUGUCUUCUAAAUCCCCCCAGGACUGGUGCCUCCACCACUGCCUGCGACAGCCUAUGCCAGGGCUUGGCAACAUUUUCCAUGGAGAAAUUUUUCCUGUUUUCCAGCUCCAGGUGUUGGGUACCUGGAGAACAACUGGUCUUGCCAUUAAAGACUGGGACAAGGAAGGCUUCUGCCAGUCCCUGUUGACCAUUCCCAUUGCUUUGUGCUGCUCCUCGAGGCAUCGCCUCGCUCCAGCUCUGAACCAAGAGCAGCUCCGUUGCCUCCACAGAGAUCCUGGUAGAGGUCCAGGGUUUCCUAAUUCAUGAGCACAUCGUUAAUUAUCUGCUGGAAGCCAAAGCCUCAGCAUCUUGGUGAGACUAACGAGGCUAUUAACAGAGCUGCUUCUUGCCAUGCUGGCUUGGGCUGGCCCGGAUCGUGGUGCUGUCCCGGGCGGGUGAGCAAAGGCAGAGACAAGCUUUGCGUCGCAUCCUCUGGCACUUAUUUACCUUCUAAACCACAUCUGACCAUUGCUGAGACCUUUCCAAAGGAAACCACGGCAUCUAAAUGCCGAGAACAGAGAACCCAGCACGGGCAGCUUGGUGAAUCCGUGGGAUUUCUAAAUCGAGCACAUCUCCAGCGUCCACAUAGUGGUAGCUGGGGAAGGGUCACGGCCAGCCUGGGUGGAGGGUUGAGCUGCAAUGCCCGGAGCUGCUACUCGCAGGAGGUCCCCACGGGGUUAUCCUGAGUGAAAACACCGCUGCUUAAACCCAGCAGUGGCUGCUCCGAGCCGCUGGGUCAGCGGGCCCCGUGAGCGGUGUCUCCGUGUGAUUUAUGCUGUGUUGUGCCAUGCUCUUGCUUGCACCCGCUUGGCUCUCCCGGCGUGAGGAGCAGCCAGUCCAUUAAACACUGAGUCAUCCUCA